rnacentral:rRNA from 1 species
UACACGGCGGCCGAGGACAAGCUUCUUUGCGAGUGUUGGCGAGACAUUGGACAAGACCCCAAGACGGGCGCCGAGCAAAAGCAUUCAACCUUUUGGAUUCGUGUCCACCGAGAGUUUCAUGGGCGCAAGAAGUUUCCGCCGUACCAAUUUGUGAGCACACGCGGGUGGGUCUCCAUUUCCAAGCGGUGGAGGAUGAUCCAACAAGAGUGCAACAAGUUUUGCGCCACUCUUAGGAGUGUCAAAGCCCGCCCCGUGAGCGGCAUCGGCAUGCAAGACAUGGCAUUUCAAGCUUUGGAGGCAUUCAAGGUGCAACACAAUGGCAAGUUCUUCAACCUCUCCCAUUGCUAUCGGGUCAUCAAG